rnacentral:rRNA from 1 species
UACGUAGGGUGCAAGCGUUGUCCGGAAUUAUUGGGCGUAAAGAGCUCGUAGGCGGUUUGUCGCGUCGACUGUGAAAACCUGGGGCUUAACUCUGGGCCUGCAGUCGAUACGGGCAGACUUGAGUUCGGUAGGGGAGACUGGAAUUCCUGGUGUAGCGGUGAAAUUCGUAGAUAUUGCGUAGAACACCAGUGGCGAAGGCGGCCACCUGGGAAGCGACUGACGCUGAGACGCGAAAGCGUGGGGAUCAAACAGG